GCAAACUUGGUCAUUUAGAGGAAGUAAAAGUCGUAACAAGGUUUCCGUAGGUGAACCUGCGGAAGGAUCAUUACAGUGUUUUGCCGCGGUGCGCGCCGCCCCCCCGGGGGCGGUCUGCGUGCCGUCGAAACCCCACCCGUGACUACCGUACCGUCUGUUGCUUCGGCGGGCCCGCCCCCAGGGCCGCCGGGGGGUCUGCCCCCUGGCCCGCGCCCGCCGGAGGAGAAUCUGAACCCUUUUGUGAAUAUUUGGCUGUCUGAGUGGGCUUGCGAAUCGUUAAAACUUUCAACAAUGGAUCUCUUGGUUCCGGCAUCGAUGAAGAACGCAGC
rnacentral:misc_RNA from 1 species